UGACUGCUGCUGUUGUAGCUCAUGGGCUGGUGGAGAAGGCAUACAAGAAUUCUGGAAUGGCUGAUAUUGCUGUGGAGCAUCAUACCAUCCCAAGCUAGGGUCAUUCCAUCCAGGAUCGUUGCUGUAACCAUACUAAGCAGGGAAGAAUUCAUCCAAGAACAUAUGCUUAAGAUCUUCCCAAGUAAUGGAUCCUGGAGGAAGACAAUACAACCAAUCCCUUGCUGCUUCUUGUAACGAAUGCGGAAAUGCCCUUAAAAAAAUGUGAUCAUCAGGGACAUGAGGAGGUUUCAUUGUAGAACUCCUCCAAAUGUCUAUGUGGGC
rnacentral:lncRNA from 1 species